AUCAAACUAAUAGUGUGUUUGGCAGGUAAUAUGCACAAUGUCUUUGAUAUACAUUAUUUUUGUUCAAUAGUACCUCGAAGAAUGUGUAAUCCUCUGAUUUACCAUUUUGUGUAUUAAGUUAGAUAAUAAUUUAGUCGAAACAUCCUGUUUUAUUCCAAUAUGAACGAUAAAUUUAUUAUAUAAAACAGGAGUGAACUUUGGUAUAUGUGCAAGAUGCGAGCCUCGUCUACAAAAGACCCAUCAGUGACGCUCGAAUAAAAACAAGUUCAGUAAGCGAAAUAAAUAAAUGAAUACAUUAUAUCGACAAUGAUUUUUUUAUUUCAUUUAAAAAUAAAUAUUUUAGUUUAAUAUGGUUAUUUAAACAACCUUUUCAUAAAUCUGUUUCCCAAUUAUCUCUUUUUCUUUUUCAGAUAAUUAUAAAACAUUAUGGAUCCUGGUCCUGAUGGGGGACGUUAAAUUACAUCAAUUAACAAACAGUCGUCUGGUGGGAGAACGACGUUAUAAAUUGAUAAACUGUAGCAAAAUACUUCCACGUUUCACAAGUGUCUUUUAACAUCAUCACAGACUUGCUUGGCUUGUUUGUGUUUAAAACUUGAUAUGUUAAUAUUUUGCACCUGCAAAUAACCAGUUUUAUCAUUUUGGACUUUCGAUGACCGGGUUUAUUAUUUUGGACUUGGAAUUACUAGAUUGAUCUGUUUGGACAUGCAAUAACUUGAAUUAUCAUUUAAGAUUGAUAACCGAAUUUAUCCAUUUGGACUAGCAUGCAUCAGAUUUAUCAUUUUGCACAUAUCUGGACUCUUCUUUAAAUAAUUGAAAACGAUAAAGAUUUAAAAGAUAAAAUGAUAUAUACAUAAAAAAAAAAUUAAAGCUUUCUUGUAGUCUUCCUUUUACAGGUGUGUACAUUGGAAGUGGAAAUAUAUCUCAUUGAACGCAUAUUUAUGCACAAGAAAUGUAUAGUGCACGAGUGAAGUUUGCACAGGAUAGUAUCUUUAUUUUUAAACCAGAAUAUUAGCUUUGGAUUAAAAAAAAGAAAGAAGAUGAAACACAUGAAGAAGAAACACAAAGUAAUCUUAAAACAAAAGAAAAAUCGAAAUCGUUUAAAUAAUUUUCGAAAUAUUUUAUAUUACCUGGACACAUUGUAAGCAUACAUUACACUAAAACACA
rnacentral:lncRNA from 1 species